UAGGAACCGUGAGAUUAAGCCAUCGCGGCAGGUGCUCACGUUAAGCCCACUGACUUUCAUGUCCCUAUCUACUAUCUAGCGAAACCACAGCCAAGGGAACGGGCUUGGAAUAAUUAGCGGGGAAAGAAGACCCUUUUGAGCUUGACUCUAAUCUGGCAGUGUAAGGAGACAUAAGAGGUGUAGAAUAAGUGGGAGAUAUUAGACUUCGGUUUGGUAUCGACAAUGAAAUACCACUACUCUUAUUGUUUCCUUACUUACUUGAUUAAAUGGAACGUGUAUCAUUUCCUAGCCAUUAUACGGAUAUAAUUAUUAUGUCUUAUGGUAUUGGGUUUUGAUGCAAGCUUCUUGAUCAAAGUAUCACGAGUUUGUUAUAUAAUCGCAAACAAAUUCUUUAAUGAGAGAAUGCAUUUAUGUAUUAUUGAUUUAAAAAUUUGGUAUAACUCCAAUUACUCAGGUAUGAUCCAAUUCAAGGACAUUGCCAGGUAGGGAGUUUGACUGGGGCGGUACAUCUCUCAAAUAAUAACGGAGGUGUCCCAAGGCCAGCUCAGUGCGGACAGAAACCACACAUAGAGCAAAAGGGCAAAUGCUGACUUGAUCUCGGUGUUCAGUACACACAGGGACAGCAAAAGCUCGGCCUAUCGAUCCUUUUGGUUUAAAGAGUUUUUAACAAGAGGUGUCAGAAAAGUUACCAUAAGGAUAACUGGCUUGGGGCGGCCAAGCGUUCAUAACGACGUCCCUUUUUGAUCCUUCCAUGUCGGCUCUUCCUAUCAUUGGGAAACAAAAUUCACCAAGCGUUGGAUUGGUCACCCAUGCAAGGGAACGUGAGCUGGGUUUAAACCGUCCUGAGACAGGUUAAUUUUACCCUACUAAUGACCAAACGUUGUUGCGACAGCAUUCCUGCGUAAUACGAAAGGAACCGCAAGUACGGACCAAUGGCACAAUACUUGUGUCGAGCGAACAGUGGUAUGACGCUACGUCCGUUG
rnacentral:ncRNA from 1 species